rnacentral:rRNA from 1 species
AUUGAACGCUGGCGGCAGGCCUAACACAUGCAAGUCGAACGGUAACAGGAAACAGCUUGCUGUUUCGCUGACGAGUGGCGGACGGGUGAGUAAUGUCUGGGAAACUGCCUGAUGGAGGGGGAUAACUACUGGAAACGGUAGCUAAUACCGCAUAACGUCGCAAGACCAAAGAGGGGGACCUUCGGGCCUCUUGCCAUCGGAUGUGCCCAGAUGGGAUUAGCUAGUAGGUGGGGUAACGGCUCACCUAGGCGACGAUCCCUAGCUGGUCUGAGAGGAGGACAGCCACAAUGGAAACGAGACAAGGUCCAGAACCCUAAGGGAGGCAGCAGUGGGGAAUAAUGCACAAUGGGCGCAAGCCUGAUGCAGCCAUGCCGCGUGUAUGAAGAAGGCCUUCGGGUUGUAAAGUACUUUCAGCGGGGAGGAAGGGAGUAAAGUUAAUACCUUUGCUCAUUGACGUUACCCGCAGAAGAAGCACCGGCUAACUCCGUG